rnacentral:rRNA from 1 species
CAGAAGCGUUUUUUUUCAUCUCGAUUCGGAUAUUGGGCGUAAAGAGCUCGUAGGCGGUUUGUCGCGUCUGCUGUGAAAGACCGGGGCUCAACUCCGGUUCUGCAGUGGGUACGGGCAGACUAGAGUGCAGUAGGGGAGACUGGAAUUCCUGGUGUAGCGGUGAAAUGCGCAGAUAUCAGGAGGAACACCGAUGGCGAAGGCAGGUCUCUGGGCUGUAACUGACGCUGAGGAGCGAAAGCAUGGGGAGCGAACAGGAUUAGAUACCCUGGUAGUCCAUGCCGUAAACGUUGGGCACUAGGUGUGGGGGACAUUCCACGUUUUCCGCGCCGUAGCUAACGCAUUAAGUGCCCCGCCUGGGGAGUACGGCCGCAAGGCUAAAACUCAAAGGAAUUGACGGGGGCCCGCACAAGCGGCGGAGCAUGCGGAUUAAUUCGAUGCAACGCGAAGAACCUUACCAAGGCUUGACAUGAACCGGUAAUACCUGGAAACAGGUGCCCCGCUUGCGGUCGGUUUACAGGUGGUGCAUGGUUGUCGUCAGCUCGUGUCGUGAGAUGUUGGGUUAAGUCCCGCAACGAGCGCAACCCUCGUUCUAUGUUGCCAGCGCGUUAUGGCGGGGACUCAUAGGAGACUGCCGGGGUCAACUCGGAGGAAGGUGGGGACGACGUCAAAUCAUCAUGCCCCUUAUGUCUUGGGCUUCACGCAUGCUACAAUGGCCGGUACAAAGGGUUGCGAUACUGUGAGGUGGAGCUAAUCCCAAAAAGCCGGUCUCAGUUCGGAUUGGGGUCUGCAACUCGACCCCAUGAAGUCGGAGUCGCUAGUAAUCGCAGAUCAGCAAACGCUGCGGUGAAUACGUUCCCGGGCCUUGUACACACCGCCCCGUCAAGUCACGAAAAGUGGUAACACCCGAAGCCGGUGGCCUAACCCUUGUGGGGGGAGCCGUCGAAGGUGGGACCCGGCGAUUGGGACUAAGUCGUACCCAGGUACCCAUU